rnacentral:rRNA from 1 species
CAGCAGCCGCGGUAAAACGAAGGGGGCUAGCGUUGUUCGGAAUUACUGGGCGUAAAGCGCACGUAGGCGGACAUUUAAGUCAGGGGUGAAAUCCCGGGGCUCAACCCCGGAACUGCCUUUGAUACUGGGUGUCUAGAGUAUGGAAGAGGUGAGUGGAAUUCCGAGUGUAGAGGUGAAAUUCGUAGAUAUUCGGAGGAACACCAGUGGCGAAGGCGGCUCACUGGUCCAUUACUGACGCUGAGGUGCGAAAGCGUGGGGAGCAAACAGGAUUAGAUACCCGCGUAGUCCCUGUCUCUUAUAC